CAGCCGCCGCGGUAAAACGGAGGGUGCAAGCGUUAAUCGGAAUUACUGGGCGUAAAGCGCACGCAGGCGGUCUGUCAAGUCAGAUGUGAAAUCCCCGGGCUUAACCUGGGAACUGCAUUUGAAACUGGCAGGCUAGAGUCUUGUAGAGGGGGGUAGAAUUCCAGGUGUAGCGGUGAAAUGCGUAGAGAUCUGGAGGAAUACCGGUGGCGAAGGCGGCCCCCUGGACAAAGACUGACGCUCAGGUGCGAAAGCGUGGGGAGCAAACAGGAUUAGAUACCCGUGUAGUCCCUGUCUCUUAUAC
rnacentral:rRNA from 1 species